rnacentral:rRNA from 1 species
UACGUAGGGACCAAGCGUUGUUCGGAAUCACUGGGCGUAAAGCGCGCGUAGGCGGCUUUGCAAGUCGGGUGUGAAAUCCCCAGGCUUAACCUGGGAACUGCAUUCGAGACUGCAUUGCUAGAGUAUGGAAGAGGUAAGUGGAAUUGCGAGUGUAGAGGUGAAAUUCGUAGAUAUUCGCAGGAACACCAGUGGCGAAGGCGGCUUACUGGUCCAUAACUGACGCUGAGGUGCGAAAGCGUGGGGAGCAAACAGG